GCUGGGAUAGCGGGGGUGGUGUCAAGGAAUGAUUCCAGGACAUACUGCUCUCUCUCAAAUGGUCUAUUGAUUCUUUUAUGUUCACACAGGGUUUGGUACAUUGCUUUGGCUUCCCUCAGGUGUUGCUGCUAUUUCUCUGCUUUCCCUGAGCGAGAGAGACAAAAGAAAGAAAUCCACUUCCCUCUAAUGGCAACUUUCGAAAUCAACAGGACAUGGAGCAUUCUACUCUCAUCCUAAACCUUUUACCAAGUAAUUACGGGGCAUUUCUUGGAACAUUUUCAAUACAAAAUAUACCUGGAGAACAAACAUUGUUCUGAGUGGACAGUGGUAACGAGAAAACGAUACAAAUGAGUUAGUGUUACAGAAGGCGGAAGAUCUGGGCACAAUCUCUUUCUAAUGCUGUGAUGGUCAUUCAGGACAGCAUUGUGUGGGGAAGGACAACAGGAAGUGCACGUGGUUAACUAUUAGUCACACCAGGAAAAGGAAUAUUUUACGCCAGCACUUUGUUGCAGUAAUAUCACCAUGAGGAAGACGGGUUUGAUUCCGACGCCAGAGCUCCCUCUCUGGAGGCCAAAACAAGAGAUCAUGUACAAGGGUUUCUGCCAUCAAACAGCAAAGCUCCUGCUCCUGCCCACCUUGGCUUGGCAAUCCUCUGCAUUUGGGCUGAAAGAAUGAGCCAGAUCCUCAGCACAGAGAAGGCUUAAAGGUGUCAUAAAUGCAGGAGCUAAGUAUUCCCCUGGUGGAGACAGCAUUCUGGGGUAGAGAGGAGGCGGGGCUGGCUGGUGGACUGAUGUCUUGG
ensembl:lncRNA